rnacentral:lncRNA from 1 species
UAAGGAAUUCCUAAUUUCCAUUACAGAUCCUCCUCCAGCCUGAAGCUGAAAAAGCAAGUGCAUCUGAGUGAAGUGUGGACCGGCACCUGCCUCAGCGAAGUGACAGAGAAAAAGAUGAGUCCCGAGAAUUCAUUUGUCAUUGGCUGGCCUACCACCAACUAUGUUGUCACCUUCAGCUCAGCUGAUGUGAAGGAACGAUGGCUGUCAGCGUUACUGUGGCAUAUCAGUGAGGUAAAACAGAAUGAAUGCCUGAAGAAUCUGACCCUUCAGAUCUUUGUGCUGGAUGACGACAACUGUUCUUCUACUACUGCAGUCAAUGUGUCCAAUGUGGAAACUGCAGAGAGUGUGAUGAAGAAGACCCUUCUACAGCUUGGGCUCCCUGUAAGUGGCAGUUGCCAGAUCUUAGCUAAGGACACUGACAAUAUCUGGUUUACAGGACAAUGUGGAUGUCAAAAAGUCUAGA